rnacentral:tRNA from 1 species
GCCCCCAUCGUCUAGCGGCCCAGGACAUAGCCCUCUCAAGGCUAAGACCGGGGUUCGAGUCCCCGUGGGGGCA